AAGUCGUAACAAGGUAACCGUAGGUGAACCUGCGGUUGGAUCAUUACCAAUAUCUAGCCAUUUUUUGGCUAUGAAAACAUUGUGUGAACUGUUCCUGUCCUUGGUGGGGCCUAUAUGUUGAGCCCACCAGCUUGACAUCCCACCAAACACUUUUCCUACUUAUCUUUUAUGUCUAAUUACAUAUGAAAAUAUUAUAAGAAAAAAACAACUUUUAGCAAUGGAUCUCUUGGCUCUU
rnacentral:misc_RNA from 1 species